rnacentral:rRNA from 1 species
AUUGAACGCUGGCGGCAUGCCUUACACAUGCAAGUCGAACGGCAGCACGGGAGCAAUCCUGGUGGCGAGUGGCGAACGGGUGAGUAAUAUAUCGGAACGUGCCCAGUCGUGGGGGAUAACGUAGCGAAAGCUACGCUAAUACCGCAUACGAUCUAUGGAUGAAAGCGGGGGAUCGCAAGACCUCGCGCGAUUGGAGCGGCCGAUAUCAGAUUAGGUAGUUGGUGAGGUAAAGGCUCACCAAGCCGACGAUCUGUAGCUGGUCUGAGAGGACGACCAGCCACACUGGGACUGAGACACGGCCCAGACUCCUACGGGAGGCAGCAGUGGGGAAUUUUUGGACAAUGGGCGAAAGCCUGAUCCAGCAAUGCCGCGUGCAGGAAGAAGGCCUCGGUU